rnacentral:rRNA from 1 species
GUGGCGAGCGGCCUUCUGGACUUACACUGACGGUGAGGUGCGAAAGCGUGGGUAGCAAACAGGAUUAGAUACCCUGGUAGUCCACGCCGUAAACGAUGUCGACUAGCCGUUGGGUCCCUUGGGGACUUAGUGGCGCAGUUAACGCGAUAAGUCGACCGCCUGGGGAGUACGGCCGCAAGGUUAAAACUCAAAUGAAUUGACGGGGGCCCGCACAAGCGGUGGAGCAUGUGGUUUAAUUCGAUGCAACGCGAAGAACCUUACCUACCCUUGACAUCCUGCGAACCCGAAAGAGAUUCCGGGGUGCCUUCGGGAGCGCAGAGACAGGUGCUGCAUGGCUGUCGUCAGCUCGUGUUGUGAAAUGUUGGGUUAAGUCCCGUAACGAGCGCAACCCUUGUCCCUAUUUGCCAGCGAUUCGGUCGGGAACUCUAGGGAGACUGCCGGUGACAAACCGGAGGAAGGUGGGGACGACGUCAAGUCAUCAUGGCCCUUACGGGUAGGGCUACACACGUGCUACAAUGGUCGGUACAAAGGGCAGCGAAAGCGCGAGCUGAAGCGAAUCCCGAAAAGCCGAUCUCAGUCCGGAUCGGAGUCUGCAACUCGACUCCGUGAAGUCGGAAUCGCUAGUAAUCGUGCAUCAGAAUGGCACGGUGAAUACGUUCCCGGGCCUUGUACACACCGCCCGUCACACCAUGGGAGUGGACUGCACCAGAAGUGGUUAGCCUAACUUCGGAGGGCGAUCACCACGGUGUGGUUCAUGACUGGGGUGAAGUCGUAACAAGGUAACCAAGCC